CACACAGGUUUACAGCUCAACCUCUAAAGUCCCAUAUCUGGCUGAGGAGACUGUGGAUCAUCCAGAACAUCACCAGUGGAAAAAAGGUGUGAAUGCAUCCUCAAAGCCCCUAAGUGAGGGAGUACAUGGAUGCUGGGCAUGAUGAAGCGCAAACCUUGAUGUGCAACACCACCUUAUGAAUCUACACUAGUUACAUUAACAUUUAGCAGACUCUUUUGUCUUAAGUGACUUACAAUUGAGGACACAUUCAGCAAAUCAACAAGAAAAGGCGAUACACCCAAGAUGUGCUAAUUAUAUAAAAAAAAAAAAGUGGCUGGCGACUUGCGACUUGCGCGCCCAGUCGUCCAGCCAAUCUAAGUUUUUGCCUUCUCCUCGGAAGGACCCCCGUCUAACGCCGUAGUCCAGCAGCAGCUCCUCCCCCAUGGAGAUGUCCCGAAGGGCGCGGAAUAGAACGCACUCCCGUGGCCCCUGUGGCAGCGUUAGAAGCUUCACAAAGGGCCACACGUUGUUGCGGUGCCGGGAGUGGUUCAUAAGCCUUCCGAAGGUUUCCAUGCCCGGGUGACAGGGGCAGGGCCAGGACUGGGCAUCCAGGCAAAGGGUCAUCCCACCAAGCCCUUUAAAGAAAUACAUGUAGGAGGAGGAGACACGGGGGAGGGCCUCCCGUCUCCUUAAGCUCUCCUCGUGGGACAACUCCUUCCCAUGGUAAUCACAAAUAAUUUCUCCUUUUUUAAAGGGCAUG
rnacentral:lncRNA from 1 species